UACGAAGGGGGCGAGCGUUGUUCGGAUUUACUGGGCGUAAAGGGCGUGCAGGCGGUUUGUUAAGUGCAGGGUGAAAGCUCCCGGCUCAACUGGGAGAGGUCCUUGCAUACUGGCGAACUCGAGGGAGGCAGAGGAAAGUGGAAUUCCCGGUGUAGUGGUGAUAUGCGUAGAUAUCGGGAGGAACACCUGCGGUGUAGACGGCUUUCUGGACCAUAACUGACGCUGAGAUACGAAAGCGUGGGUAGCAAACAGG
rnacentral:rRNA from 1 species